GGCGGUGGCAACGAGUCUGACCUUCUGGCCCGAAAGGGUUGGGCAAACUGGUCAAUCACCGUCAUGACAGGGAUCGGGGCUUGGAAUUGUUCCCCGUGAACGAGGAAUUCCUAGUAAGUGCAAGUCAUAAGCUUGCGCUGAUUACGUCCCUGCCCUUUGUACACACCGCCCGUCGCUACUACCGAUUGAAUGGUUUAGUAAGGUCCUUGGAUUGGCACGAUUGCAGCCGCAAGGCUCAGACGGUGCUGAGAAGACGACCGAAC
rnacentral:rRNA from 1 species